rnacentral:sRNA from 1 species
CUUGGUCAUUUAGAGGAAGUAAAAGUCGUAACAAGGUUUCCGUAGGUGAACCUGCGGAAGGAUCAUUACCGAGUUCAUGCCCUCACGGGUAGAUCUCCCACCCUUUAUAUACCAUACCUUUGUUGCUUUGGCGGGCCGCCUAGCUACUGGCUUCGGCUGGUAAGUGCCCGCCAGAGGACCCAAAACCCUGAUUAUUAGUGUCGUCUGAGUAAAAUUUUAAUAUUUAAAACUUUCAACAACGGAUCUCUUGGCUCUGGCAUCGAUGAAGAACGCAGCGAAAUGCGAUAAGUAAUGUGAAUUGCAGAAUUCAGUGAAUCAUCGAAUCUUUGAACGCACAUUGCGCCCCUUGGUAUUCCGAGGGGCAUGCCUAUUCGAGCGUCAUUAUCACCCCUCAAGCUUCGGCUUGGUGUUGAGGCCUGCUGUAAAGGCACCCUCUAAAAUCAGUGGCAGUGCUGUCAGGCUCUAAGCGUAGUAAUUUCAUCGCUAUAGGGUCCUGGUGGAUACUCGUCAAAACCCCCCCAUUUUUUAAUGAUUGACCUCGGAUUAGGUAGGGAUACCCGCUGAACUUAAGCAUAUCAAUAAGCGGAGGAAAAGAAACCAACAGGGAUUGCCUCAGUAACGGCGAGUGAAGCGGCAAAAGCUCAAAUUUGAAAUCUGGCUCUUUUAGGGUCCGAGUUGUAAUUUGUAGAAGAUGUUUCGGGUGUGGCUCCGGUUUAAGUUCUUUGGAAUAUUACAUCAUAGAGGGUGAGAAUCCCGUAUGUGACCGGCAGCCUUCGCCUAUGUGAAACUCUUUCGACGAGUCGAGUUGUUUGGGAAU